rnacentral:rRNA from 1 species
AAAACAUAACCUUUAGCCAACCAAGUAUUAAAGGCGACGCCUGCCCAGUGAAAAUUAAACGGCCGCGGUAUCCUAACCGUGCAAAGGUAGCAUAAUCAUUUGUCUAUUAAUUGUAGACCUGUAUGAAAGGCAAAAUGAGAGCCCAACUGUCUCUUAUAGCAAAUCAAUUAAACUGAUCUCCUAGUACAAAAGCUAAGAUACCAACAUAAGACCAGAAGACCCUGUGAAGCUUUUAACUAACCUAUUAAACCCAAUAAUAACUAAUUUCGGUUGGGGCGACCUUGG